rnacentral:rRNA from 1 species
AGAAUCAACGCUGGCGGCGUGCCUAACACAUGCAAGUCGAACGAGAAAGUGGAGCAAUCCAUGAGUAAAGUGGCGACCGGGUGAGUAACACGUGACUAACCUACCCUAAAGUGGGGAAUAACUCCGGGAAACCGGGGCUAAUACCGCAUAAAAUCGUCGUUUCUAAAGAAGUGACGAUCAAAGCAGUAAUGCGCUAUGGGAGGGGGUCGCGGCUGAUUAGCUAGUUGGCGGGGUAAUGGCCCACCAAGGCGAAGAUCGGUAUCCGGCCUGAGAGGGCGCACGGACACACUGGAACUGAAACACGGUCCAGACUCCUACGGGAGGCAGCAGUGGGGAAUUUUGCGCAAUGGGGGAAACCCUGACGCAGCAACGCCGCGUGGAGGAUGAAGCCCCUUGGGGUGUAAACUCCUUUCGACCAAGACGAUAAUGACGGUACUGGUGGAAGAAGCACCGGCUAACUCUGUGCCAGCAGCCGC